CAUUGGGUGGCUGAAAGUAAGUAAUGGUCUCUUAAACCAAUCUAUAGUAAAUUAACAAUUGCUCCCAAUG
rnacentral:tRNA from 1 species